UGUGUGGGGUCCUCGGUCGAAGGCCCCCGUGGAGGAGAAGUAAACAGAAAUGUUCAUAAAUAAUCAUUAGCUAGCAUUGGCAGUAUUGAUUUGGACGUGCAUUGGAGGAGCUGCUGAAGGAGACCAAUAGGGCUGGGUGCGAACAGAAACCAUGGGUCCAGCAGGCUGGAUGAAGUGUAUGCUGCGCAGCACUAACAACCAUUUCCUGCUCAACACUCAGCGCACCACCAUCCCACAGCGCCGCCCUGCUGGCCACUCAGGAGAACAGACAUCAAAGAGUAGGGUGCAGGACACCACCCAGAGACAAUGGAGGAUACAGGGACCACAGACUGUCAUAGAGACAGCUGAGAACCUAGUCUCAAAGAUGAACACAGACUGUCAUAGAGACAGCUGAGAACCUAGUCUCAAAGAUGGACACAGACUGUCAUAGAGACAGCUGAGAACUUAGUCUCAAUGAUGGACACAGACUGUCAUGGAGACAGCUGAGAACCUAGUCUCAAAGAUGGACACAGACUGUCAUAGAGACAGCUGAGAACCUAGUCUCAAAGAUGGACAAAGACUGUCAUAGAGACAGCUGAGAACCUAGUCUCAAAGAUGGACACAAAGACAAAGACUGGCAUAGAGACAGCUGAGAACGUAGUCUCAAAGAUGGACACAAAGGAGACAGACUGUCAUAGAGACAGCUGAGAACCUAGUCUCAAAGAUGGACAAAGAUUGUCAUAGAGACAGCUGAGAACCUAGUCUCAACGAUGGACACAGACUGUCAUAGAGACAGCUGAGAACCUAAUCUCAAUGAUGGACACAUAGACAAGGACUGUCAUAGAGACAGCUGAGAACCUAGUCUCAACGUUGGACACAGACUGUCAUAGAGACAGCUGAGAACCUAAUCUCAAUGAUGGACACAUAGACAAGGACUGUCAUAGAGACAGCUGAGAACCUAGUCUCAACGUUGGACACAGACUGUCAUAGAGACAGCUGAGAACCUAGUCUCAACGAUAGACACAGACUGUCAUA